GAUGAACGCUGGCGGCGUGCCUAAUACAUGCAAGUCGAGCGAACAGACGAGGAGCUUGCUCCUCUGACGUUAGCGGCGGACGGGUGAGUAACACGUGGAUAACCUACCUAUAAGACUGGGAUAACUUCGGGAAACCGGAGCUAAUACCGGAUAACAUGUUGAACCGCAUGGUUCAACAGUGAAAGACGGUCUUGCUGUCACUUAUAGAUGGAUCCGCGCCGCAUUAGCUAGUUGGUAAGGUAACGGCUUACCAAGGCAACGAUGCGUAGCCGACCUGAGAGGGUGAUCGGCCACACUGGAACUGAGACACGGUCCAGACUCCUACGGGAGGCAGCAGUAGGGAAUCUUCCGCAAUGGGCGAAAGCCUGACGGAGCAACGCCGCGGGAGUGAAGAAGGUCUGCGGAUCGUAAAACUCUGUUAUUAGGGAAGAACAAAUGUGUAAGUAACGAUGCACGUCUUGACGGUACCUAAUCAGAAAGCCACGGCGAACUACGG
rnacentral:rRNA from 1 species